rnacentral:ncRNA from 2 species
CGCACGCGUCGGGAGAGCGCGUGGACGCCGUUUUGCAGCAUGCAAAGCCGCGCAAGCUACGCCGCCGAAGGAGCAUACCCAAAACUCUCAGGUAAAAGGACCGAACGCGUCGG